rnacentral:rRNA from 1 species
UUCGUAGGGUGCAAGCGUUAAUCGGAAUUACUGGGCGUAAAGCGUGCGCAGGCGGCUUUGCAAGACAGAUGUGAAAUCCCCGGGCUUAACCUGGGAACUGCAUUUGUGACUGCAUGGCUGGAGUGCGGCAGAGGGGGAUGGAAUUCCGCGUGUAGCAGUGAAAUGCGUAGAUAUGUGGAGGAAUACCGAUGGCGAAGGCAGCCCCCUGGGAUAACACUGACGCUCAUGCACGAAAGCGUGGGGAGCAAACAGG